rnacentral:rRNA from 1 species
AUUGAACGCUGGCGGCGUGCCUUACACAUGCAAGUCGAACGGCAGCAUGGAAGAGCUUGCUCUUCUGAUGGCGAGUGGCGAACGGGUGAGUAAAGCAUCGGAACGUACCGUGUAGUGGGGGAUAACGUAGCGAAAGUUACGCUAAUACCGCAUACGCACUGAGGUGGAAAGCAGGGGAUCGCAAGACCUUGCGCUAUACGAGCGGCCGAUGUCAGAUUAGCUAGUUGGUAGGGUAAAGGCCUACCAAGGCGACGAUCUGUAGCGGGUCUGAGAGGAUGAUCCGCCACACUGGGACUGAGACACGGCCCAGACUCCUACGGGAGGCAGCAGGGGGGAAUUUUGGACAAGGGGGGAAACCCGGAUCCAGCCAUGCCGCGUGAGUGAAGAAGGCCUUCGGGUUGUAAAGCUCUUUCGGCGGGGAAGAAAUCGCACAGGCUAAUACUCUGUGUGGAUGACGGUACCAGCAUAAGAAGCACCGGCUAACUACGUGCCAGCCGCCGCGGUAAA